UGGGGAAUAUUGGACAAUGGGCGGAAGCCUGAUCCAGCCAUGCCGCGGGUGUGAAGAAGGCCUUUUGGUUGUAAAGCACUUUAAGCGAGGAGGAGGCUACUUGGAUUAAUACUCUAGGAUAGUGGACGUUACUCGCAGAAUAAGCACCGGCUAACUCUGUGCCAGCAGCCGCGGUAAUACAGAGGGUGCGAGCGUUAAUCGGAUUUACUGGGCGUAAAGCGUGCGUAGGCGGCUUCUUAAAUCGGAUGUGAAAUCCCUGAGCUUAACUUAGGAAUUGCAUUCGAUACUGGGAAGCUAGAGUAUGGGAGAGGAUGGUAGAAUUCCAGGUGUAGCGGUGAAAUUCGUAGAGAUCUGGAGGAAUACCGAUGGCGAAGGCAGCCAUCUGGCCUAAUACUGACGCUGAGGUACGAAAGCAUGGGGAGCAAACAGG
rnacentral:rRNA from 1 species